AUUUCGGCCUGACUAUUACUUGGGCCGCGGAAAUAGCCCAUCCUUUUCUUCCGCACGGUUGGAGGAGGUCGGCUGCUUAUCGGGAGUUGGAGGGCUGAGGUCGGGAGGGUGGUGUGUGCAGAUCUGUAGGACUGACGCACCACGCCAGUCGCGGGUUUUGGGCCGAGGAGGCCUGGGUUACGAGCAGCAAGUGCGCGGUUGCACCCACUGUGAGGCCGUUUUAGAAAACUGUUUAAAACAAAGCAACUGAUGGAUAAAUCAGGAAUAGAUUCUCUUGACCAUGUGACAUCUGAUGCUGUGGAACUUGCAAAUCGAAGUGAUAACUCUUCUGAUACCAGCUUAUUUAAAACUCAGUGUAUCCCUUACUCACCUAAACGGGAGAAAAGAAACCCCAUUCGAAAAUUUGUUCGUACACCUGAAAGUGUUCACGCAAGUGAUUCAUCAAGUGACUCAUCUUUUGAACCAAUACCAUUGACUAUAAAAGCUAUUUUUGAAAGAUUCAAGAACAGGAAAAAGAGAUAUAAAAAAAAGAAAAAGAGGAAGUACCAGCCAACAGGAAGACCAAGGGGAAGACCAGAAGGAAGGAGAAAUCCUAUAUACUCACUAAUAGAUAAGAAGAAACAAUUUAGAAGCAGAGGAUCUGGCUUCCCAUUUUUAGAAUCAGAGAAUGAAAAAAACCCGCCUUGGAGAAAAAUUUUAACGUUUGAGCAAGCUGUUGCAAGAGGAUUUUUUAACUAUAUUGAAAAACUGAAGUAUGAACACCACCUGAAAGAAUCAUUGAAACAAAUGAAUGUUGGUGAAGAUUUAGAAAAUGAAGAUUUUGACAGUCGUAGAUAUAAAUUUUUGGAUGAUGAUGGAUCCAUUUCUCCUAUUGAGGAGUCAGCAGCAGAGGAUGAGGAUGCAACACAUCUUGAAGAUAACGAAUGUGAUAUCAAAUUGGCAGGGGAUAGUUUCAUAGUAAGUUCUGAAUUCCCUGUAAGACUGAGUGUAUACUUAGAAGAAGAGGAUAUUACUGAAGAAGUUGCUUUGUCUAAAAAGAGAGCUACAAAACCCAAAAAUACUGGACAGAGAGGCCUGAAAAUGUGACAGGAUCAUGAAUGUCAAAGGCUUUUAUCUUGAGAACAUGGUGUCUGGAGUUAAAGGUAUGUCUCAAUAUGAGUUUUCACAUCGUAUUUAUGUGUAGGAAACAGUAUGUUGUCAGAGCAAGCAAGUUUCAUUUUAUUCAGAGACAUUUCUGCCAUGCUUUUAAUUCCCACUUAUACUGAUUUCUGAAAAGAAGAAUCCUAGAUUCACACAUUUUAUAGUGGUGUGUCAGAUUCAUUUUAGUUGCAAGCAUUAGAGGGUCCCGAAUUUGUUAGUUUGUAGCAAUAAUCAGAACUUUGGAUUUCCUACUUGAAGCCUACGGCAUUAUUUUGAAUUAAUGCACAAUCUAAAAUGAGGUAGAGGAUUUUAUGGUUUAAUGCAAGAUAGAGUAUAAUGAAAUGAUUACACAGGUUGUAAGAAUUCAUAAAUUUGAAUGAUGUAGAGUUUGAUUAAAAGUUAUAUAAUGCCAAAGUCAUAACUUACAGGCACAUUAUAUUCCUGUAUUUUAUCAUGGAUGACAACUAAUUUUGAGCCAAGAAUUAAAAUUAGCCUCAAACCCCUGGGCUCAAGCGAUUCAGCAAGAAUCACACGAUUUUUAAAAGACACAGCAGAUCCUGUGUCUUAAAAAAAAAUCAAAACCUUGUAAAUAGUGGUUGAGGUCUAUCCCGAUGGGGCUUUUCCUGUAGCCUGCACAUCGUUGGAAACGCCUCAUAGAGUAACUCUGUGGUUUUACCUUACUCACAGGACUAUUGUUAGAUCUGUGGGCAGGAACUACAAGACAGUUGCUAAAAGUUUGAAAAAAGACAGUUACUAAACGUUAUGAAAAACCAGAUAAUCUACUUUUUUACCUUAGGUAUUGGUAUAUUCCACACAUCUGUACCAUUCUUGAGUGAUUGCUUAGGAAUGAAUGUGAUUUGAACUCAUUCGUGUUGAGAGGGUGUCAAAUUGAGAACCAGGCAGAUCCCCACCACCUACAGUAAAAAGGACCCUAAAGUAAAUUGGUUGAAGAAAUUAGAUCCCAAAAAUUCUUGGUAAGUUAAUUCAUUACUUAAAAGGCCAUGCAGGUUGUUUUGCUGAAUACUAGCUUUUCUCCAAAUGUUAUUUUAGGUUAUUACAUUUAUUUAUCUAGUAAUGCUAUUGCAACAUUUAUCACCACUUAGGAGUAAAAAAAGACUAGACUUAUUAUGUGUUUAAACUUUAUUAUUAAUGAUGUUAUGAUGAUGGGCGAAAUGUUCAACUGCUCUGAAUGGGCUGAGUGAAAAUGGCCUUUCUGAACAUCCAUUUACAUUAAAUAUUCCAUUGUAUUUCAGAAGAUUAUAAAAGCUCAAAGGUGAAUUUCAAAGUCUUCAUCAGUAUAUCCAUAUUAAAAGGAGAUGACAGAAGCCAAAGUAAUUAUGGCAAGUAAUGGUUUUUAUCUUAACCAUAAGUUAUUUGCUCAAGGGUAUAAUGGUCAUUACCAAGGCUUUUAGAAUGCAGUUUCUCAUUUGCUGUGGACAUGACCAUAAAAAAAUUUCCCAGUAGGUUUUCUCUCUGCUACUUUGCUAGCAAUCAGCUUAUUGGGAACAGUUGAUUAUAAUGUGAACCACAUAUGAUUUUUCUUUAAAAUCAGUGAGAUUUUAAAAUUCUUCUAGAUCUCUUGAAUCAUGCGGAUGUGCUUUGCCUUUGUAUUGUAACCCUUGUGGGUUGCUAAUAACCAAGCAGUUUGUAGUAGAGUUAACUCAGGCUCGUUCUAGGACUCAUUCGUGUUCACUAACUGUACAAUCAUCUCUGGAAAUGUAAAAUUUACUUUUAUGUUAUUGUUAUGUAGGGCUGACAGGACAGCUGGAUCAGUUUCAUUAAAAAGGGCAAACUUGAAGAUACCUCUUUUGACUCCAGCUCUUUAGAGGAUCAAAAGUGACCUUGAUGGACAGUGGAAGAAAUCACAACAUGGAAUUCUUUGAAUAAAAAUUUAUUGACUUUAAAUAAUUUUGUCUAAUGCUACAUAUACACAAUUAAAAAAAACCUCUUUACACUGUUUCUGGAAAGUCAGCAUGUAUUUUUGGCUCGAAGUUUCUCUAGUGUUUUCUGUGGAAGGAAUAAAAAUUUAGCAGUUUCAGUUGUGUA